rnacentral:lncRNA from 1 species
CUAUUUUGGCCUGGAUCUAAAGGGCCCGAGGUGGCCCAAACCUAUGUGGCCCAAACCUAACUGAGGCCCAAACCAAACAGAAGCCCAAAGCAGAUUUGGAAACCCUUAGGGUUUCUAGGAUAGAUCCUCGCGCCGCAACCAUCAGCAAGAGCCGAAUCUUCAUACCUGCACGAAAAUGGAAACAAACAAUAUAUGGAAAAUAAAAUCAGAGAUUUGCAAAUCAAAUCAAAAGAAAACAGAUAUUUUUUCUUCUUUUAAUUGUUUCAUUCGGCUAUAUAAAAAGCCACCAAAGCACUGUAAUGGGGGCCGAUUUUCGAAAUCAAUAAAAAAGGGCACGAUUAUAUUCACAAGAAAAGAGAGAAUACAACAUAAAGCAAAAUCAGUCCUAAGGUUUACAUCUAUUUUUUUUAAAAAUUCGUUUUUACGUUAAUCUACUGUUGUUAUUUUCAUUUUUUAUUUCUAUAUAAAUAAAACAAAAAAAAAAACUACCUUUCUUUAGACUCUGAGGCGGCGCUGAGGCGUUUGAGGGAACCACCCCCGAGGACCGGUGGUCGAAAACCGAAAGGUUUCUCGAUUUUGUAGGGAUUUUUUUGUUAAUUUUUGGGAGUUUUGAGCCUGGAUCUGGGUUUAGAAGGGUCGAAAAGGCCGAAUAGGGAAUUUUCCCUUUUUUUGGCCACCGCAGACGGCGGUCCUGGCGCCAGAGAUCAGCGGCCGGCGCGGUGGCCGAUGAUCGGCCGUUGAUCGGACUUAGGUCGGAGCUUGGAGAAAAGGGGGGAAGGUUGAGAGUGCUUUCUUCAGAUUUUUU